rnacentral:rRNA from 1 species
GAUGAACGCUAGCGGCAGGCCUAACACAUGCAAGUCGAGCGGCAACAUGGUGAUAGCUUGCUAAUGCCGAUGGCGACGGGCGCACGGGUGAGUAGCACGUAACCAACCUGCAGUCUACUCUUGGACAGCCUUCUGCGAUGAAGAUUAAUACAAGAUGGCAUAAUGACUCCGCAUGUUCACAUGAUUCAAGGUAUUCCGGUAGACGAUGGGGAUGCGUUCCAUUAGAUAGUAGGGGGGGUAACGGCACACCAAGUCUACGAUGCGUAGCAGAGCUGAGAGGGUAGCAAGCCACACUGGAACUGAGACACGGCCCAGACUACUACGGGAGGCAGCAGUGGGGAAUCUUACACAAGGGGCGGAAGCCUGACGGAGCCAAGCCGCGUGGGUGAAAAAGGUCUUCGGAUAGUAAAUGUCUAUUUUUUGGGAAGAAGAAAUGAGUCAGGAAUGAUGACCCGCUUGACGGUACCUAAUGAAAAAGGAACGGCUAACUACGUG